AACAUAGUACAUAGAACAUUGACAUACACAAAGCACACAAACAUGAACUAGACACAAAAUCUUAGGCAGAAAAUGGGACCACCACAUUUGAGCCUGUCUUAUGAAUUAUUUUGCAUGCAUUGUAUGGGUUUAUCACCUAUUCAUCUACAUUGUUUUGUCUAUUGUGUUGUAUUUUAUUAUUUAUUGCAGCAUGUACGGAAAUUCCUAACAGAAGUGUCCGGCAACAAGCUAGCAACAGCGCUUUUUCAGUUGGCAAUCUGUGGGGGCUCACUAGCUGUCCCACAGGACCAGGUGGCCAAUGAGAAAAAUCCCCAAACCUCUGAAAAAAAUGAUCCAAUGGAAGACAGACCUGCCACAUCAAUUCCCAGUGAAGCCAAAGUGAAGCAGUACCUAAAAGAUAGCCUGUCCUCGAUAAACUCAGCCAUCCAUUUGGCUGAUAUUGCCAUCAUAGAGGGGAAGUUGACCAAGCACUUCCAGGUCAAAGACUUUCAUUCCUUGGGUCAAGGCAGCUUCUUGGGAUUCUUGGCGAAACAUAUUCAGCUACUGCAGGACGUGCUUGGUCCAACUUUGAUUCUGAGAAGUGGUGGCAUGGAAUCUGCAAGAAGUUUUUCCAGACCCACCAAACAAGACAUAUUUGAGUUCAUCAAACAGUGUGGGCAAAAUACUUCUGGUGGUCAAGAU